rnacentral:tRNA from 1 species
GCCGGGGUGGCGGAAUGGUAGACGCAGAGGCCUUAAGAGCCUCCGCAGGUAACCCCUGCGUGCGAGUUCGAGUCUCGCCUCCGGCA